UCCGUCGCGAGGCGGAAUCUGAAAGAAGCUUACGGCAAACAUCUGGCCUGACGAACAGAAACCACAUAUAAGGCGCGGAGCCGUGGGUAAGGCUGCAAGACAAGCCCAAGCCCGAUAGCUAUUCGGAACGGUGAGUGUAAAUGUGGCAGGCAUAAGAUGGAAAGACGAUGCC
rnacentral:ncRNA from 1 species